AUGGCGAAACUCGCAGCUGUCAGUCGCAGCGUGUUUAGAUUUACGAACGAAACCAUGAGGAUUGUUAUGGUAACGGUUAUCGGAGUGGUCCUUGGCUUCUUCAUUGGAAUUUCAUUCCCGUCGGUGAGCAUAACAAAGCUACACUUCCCAUCCAGCUUUGUUUCGUACAUAGAGGAGAGGAACUCUGGGCUCACGACCCAAGCUUUGCUUAACCAUGCCUGGAAUUCAGUCAGAAAUGCAAGGGAGAACACUUCCGAACCAAAUACAAACACUACUUUAAAGAUUUAUGUCCCGACAAACCCCAGGGGUGCAGAGAGGCUAGCACCAGGCAUUGUUGUGCCAGAUACUGACUUCCAUCUGCGCAGGUUGUGGGGAGACCCAAGUGAGGACCUGCCAUUCAAACCAAAGUACCUUGUGACUUUCACUGUUGGAUAUGCACAGAAAGAAAAUAUAAACAGAGCAGUGAAGAAGUUUUCUGACAAUUUCGCUAUCCUGUUAUUCCACUAUGAUGGUCGUGUGACCGAAUGGGACGAAUUUGAGUGGUCAAAGCGAGCCAUCCAUAUCAGUGUCAGCAAACAAACUAAAUGGUGGUAUGCCAAAAGAUUCUUGCACCCUGAUAUUGUGGCAGCUUAUGAGUACAUAUUCAUCUGGGAUGAAGACCUUGGGGUGGAUCAUUUCAACGCAGAGGAGUACAUCAAACUUGUUAAGAAAAACGGUCUGGAUAUCUCCCAGCCCGGCUUGGAACCUGACCGGGGACUAACUUGGCAGAUGACCAAAAGAAGAGGUGACCGAGAGGUGCACAAGGAGACAGAGGAAAGGCCAGGCUGGUGUGCUGACCCUCAUCUUCCACCUUGUGCAGCGUUUGUUGAAAUAAUGGCUCCAGUCUUCUCAAGGGAGGCAUGGCGGUGUGUAUGGCAUAUGAUUCAGAAUGAUUUGGUCCAUGGAUGGGGUCUCGACUUCGCCCUCAGGAAAUGUGUAGAGCCUGCUCAUGAGAAGAUCGGAGUCGUCGAUUCCCAGUGGAUCGUUCACCAGGUGGUUCCUUCUCUCGGGAACCAGGGCAAGGCGGAGGGCGGGAAGCCGGCGUGGGAAGGGGUGAGGGCGCGGUGCCGGAAGGAGUGGGGCAUGUUCCAGAUGAGGAUGGCGGAUGCCGAGAAGGCCUACUACAAGAUGAUGGGCAUCACCCCUCCAAACUCCACACUUGUCUAG
rnacentral:rRNA from 1 species